rnacentral:lncRNA from 1 species
CUCUGCGAAGUUUGCCGUUUUUCAGUCAUUUUGUAUUACGCACGGGAAAUUGAUACCUUUUUUCAGAAAGCGGUAUCAAUUUCCAGUGCGUAAUACAAAAUGACUGAAAAACGGCAAACUUCGCAGGGCUAUAUUAUCCGCAUUUUACAACAUUUCGCAACGAAACUUCGGAAUAUUACUAAUUUUGUGGUGCUCUUUCAAGCUGUGAUGAAAUUUUUGUCUAGACUUGUCUAGAUCACAAUUUUGUU